CAGCAGCCACGGUAAUACGUAGGGUGCGAGCGUUAAUCGGAAUUACUGGGCGUAAAGCGUGCGCAGGCGGUUAUAUAAGACAGAUGUGAAAUCCCCGGGCUUAACCUGGGAACUGCAUUUGUGACUGGCGAGCUAGAGUAUGGCAGAGGGGGGUAGAAUUCCACGUGUAGCAGUGAAAUGCGUAGAGAUGUGGAGGAAUACCGAUGGCGAAGGCAGCCCCCUGGGCCAAUACUGACGCUCAUGCACGAAAGCGUGGGGAGCAAACAGGAUUAGAUACCCCCGUAGUCCCUGUCUCUUAUAC
rnacentral:rRNA from 1 species